AUGAGAAGGUUGCACGUCUUUUGCGAGAAGAAGAGAUCAAAUACUACCAAAGAUCCAAAGCUGAUUUCAUUCUGUGAUAGUAAUACAAGAUACUUCCAAUUGGUCGCCAAUGGGCGGCAUAGGAAGAAAUGUAUUUAUAGUCUCCAACAAGAUGAGGGGCGGAUCGAAGGUCAGGAGGAGCUCAAAAAGUAUAUCACCAACUACUACAAAUCUCUAUUCGGGGCGACGGCCGAAGGGAACUUCACCCUUGAUGAGACCCGAACAGAUGAUAUCCCACAAGUCACGACUGAAGAAAAUGAUAUCCUUACAUCACCAUUCUCUGAAGAGGAGGUGAGAGCUGCGGUGUUCCAAAUGGAACAUAACAAAGCUCCAGGUCCAGAUGGUUUUCCCGCAGAAUUCUAUCAGAAUUUCUGGGAUAUAAUCAAGUCUGACCUAAUGGAGUUGUUUAAUUGCCUUCAUGCCGACAAACUUGACCUAUUCAGACUUAAUUUUGGUGAGAUUGUCUUGUUGCCGAAGAUUAAGGAGGCUGAAUGGAUCCAACAGUUCAGACCCAUAUGCCUCCUUAAUGUCAGCUUCAAAAUUUUCACCAAAGUGAACAUGAGUGGAGUAGUAUUCAAGAUCGACUUUGAAAAAGCCUAUGACAAGGUCAAAUGGUCUUUCCUCCAACAGGCCCUAAGGAUGAAAGGUUUCUCCGAUAAAUGGCGCGAGUGGAUCCAUAAUUUUGUAACUGGAGGUAGUGUGGCCAUCAAAGUCAAUGAUGAUGUAGGCCAUUACUUUCAAACAAAAAAGGAUUACGACAGGGUGACUCCAUGUCUCCAAUGUUAUUUAACAUUGUCGCUGACAUGUUGGCUAUUCUGA
rnacentral:rRNA from 1 species